GCACUGCUUGUUCCAAGUUGUCAACAAGUUUGGAACAAGCUGUUACCAACUUGUAACAACCUUGUUAAUAUUAUCAGACUUGUUGCAAGGUUGUUCCAACAAGUCCGAUACAGUCAUGAUAUAACAAUAUUGUUACAACCUUGUGUCGUCCACCUUGUAACAUUCUUGGUUAUCAUGACUGCAUUCGACUUGUUAGAACAACCUUGUAACAAGUGUGAUAAUGCCAUCAACCUUGUUACAACUUGUUAACAGCUUGUUUGAAACUUGUUACAACAACUGGGAACAAGCAGUGC